GUAACGGUGUCUUUAGACACCACCUCUUUGUUUAUGAUUGGAGCUAU
rfam:Picea glauca, whole genome shotgun sequence.